rnacentral:rRNA from 1 species
GACGAACGCUGGCGGCGUGCUUAACACAUGCCAGUCGAACGGAAAGGCCCUGCUUUUGUGGGGUGCUCGAGUGGCGAACGGGUGAGUAACACGUGAGUAACCUGCCCUUGACUUUGGGAUAACUUCAGGAAACUGGGGCUAAUACCGGAUAGGAGCUCCUGCUGCAUGGUGGGGGUUGGAAAGUUUCGGCGGUUGGGGAUGGACUCGCGGCUUAUCAGCUUGUUGGUGGGGUAGUGGCUUACCAAGGCUUUGACGGGUAGCCGGCCUGGGAGGGUGACCGGCCACAUUGGGACUGAGAUACGGCCCAGACUCCUACGGGAGGCAGCAGUGGGGAAUAUUGCACAAUGGGCUGAAGCCUGAUGCAGCAACGCCGCGUGCGGGAUGACGGCCUUCGGGUUGUAAACCGCUUUCGCCUGUGACGAAGCGUGAGUGACGGUAAUGGGUAAAGAAGCACCGGCUAACUACGUG